rnacentral:rRNA from 1 species
CCCUUAGAUGUUCUGGGCCGCACGCGCGCUACACUGAUGCAUUCAACGAGUCUAAAACCUGCUCUGAUAGGGGUGGGUAAUCUUUUGAAUGUGCAUCGUGAUUGGGAUAGAUGAUUGCAAUUUUUCAUCUUCAACGAGGAAUGCCUAGUAAACGCAAGUCAUCAGCUUGCAUUGAUUACGUCCCUGCCCUUUGUACACACCGCCCGUCGCUCCUACCGAUUGAAUGAUCCGAUGAAUAUCAUGGAUUGAGGAUGUAGCAGGUUCGCCUGUCUUCAUCUUCGAGAAGUGAAGUAAAUCUUAUCAUUUAGAGGAAGGAGAAGUCGUAACA